CUCUGGAGUCUUUUACUAUCUAUACAAAAGAAGUAGAUUAACAGUUAAGAAACUUGAAAAUGCUCCACACAUUAGUAUAGAUGGAAAACUCAAAGACCUUUUGAAAGUUACUCCUGGAGGCUGCUUACAGUAUGCUGUGGUUGAAGGUACGGUAAAACCAGUGGAUGAGCCUCUAAAC